rnacentral:tRNA from 1 species
GCAGCUAUGGUGUAGCUUGGUAGCAUAUGGGCCUGUGGAGCCUCUAGGGCGGGUUCAAAUCCCGCUAGCUGCC